ACUUCAUCAAUUCAUUCAACCUGCAUGCGACACCUGUCCCUUCUUUUUUAAACUCUGCGUUUUGUUUGAGCCAGUUUUUUUCGUGAUAUAUCGUCUUCUUCGACGAGCUUUUCGUCUUCCCUCAUAAAGAGUUUCUCUGUUGAAGUCUCAGAGGUUUCUCUAUCUCGAGUUCUGCUUCUCACGCCGUCUACGACCUCUCUCGAUGCCGCUGCGUCUCUGACUCCGCCACUGCGCCUCCGACUACUCUGCGCUGCAUCUCCUCCUUUGCGAGCGGGUCCAUAUCUCCUCCUCGGCCUCAUUAUCAUAUGCGACUCCAGAUUUCUUUUCCUUCUCUUACUAUCUCCUGAAAUCAUGGUUAAUUCUCUUGGAUCCGCUCUAAGAUUACAUUUGAUCACAAUCAUGUGUUUGAGGGCCUGUUUGAUUCUGAAUUGAUUUCUCUGAUUUUCUUACUACAUGAGCUCGAUGAGGUUUCUGAUUCCCGGGAAGUUAUCGGACUUUUGGAUUUGUGGGAUUCUGAUCAACGCUGUAUUAGAUUGAAUACACCGUACGCUAAAUUUUCAAAUCUCUAAAACAUGUUUCUCAAUUAUGUUAUAGGUUAAAGAGACGAAAACUGAAGCAUCUAGAAACCGUGGAUGAAGAUGAGAUUGAGGAUGUAGCUUCUGGUAAGUUUUCAGAAGAAAUCUCCGAAGCAUCCUCAACUCCUCAAGCAAGUUACCAUGCCAACACCCAGGGACCUUAGGAAACAUGUGCAUUGUCUGUGGCCAAAACGUGGAAGAAGAAGAAACUGGUCUUUCAUUCACUUACAUACACAAGUUUCAUCAAGAUGAAGUAACCCGGAUGCGUGAUAUAGAUAUGAAAAUGUUGCAAAGCCAGCGGAAGUUAUGUUUAGUUCUUGAUCUAGACCACACUUUGCUUAACUCAACCGUACUUAGAGACUUGAAACCAGAGGAGGAAUACUUGAAAAGCGUUACACACUCUUCAAGAUGUUUCUGGUGGUGAUCUCUUCAUGCUUGAGUUCAUGCAUAUGAUGACCAAAUUAAGACCGUUUGUUCAUUCGUUUCUGAAAGGAGCCAGCAAGAUGUUUGUAUUGUAUAUAUACACAAUGGGAGAUAGGCCAUAUGCACCACAGAUGGCGAAGCUGCUAGACCCAAAAGUAGAGUACUUCGGUGAACGGCCUAAUUGAUUUAUUGAUUGUACGAAGGAAAAGGUCUUCUAUGUCGUUGUCGUAUUUUAAUUUUUAGCUGAUAUUUAACUCGAAAAAUAAUCAUAUCAAAAAAGUUAUCUAUGUUUAUGUGAUAAAUACAAUGAAUUUAAAUUUUCUAAAAUUACA